rnacentral:rRNA from 1 species
AGUGAACGCUGGCGGUAGGCCUAACACAUGCAAGUCGAACGGCAGCACAGGAGAGCUUGCUCUCUGGGUGGCGAGUGGCGGACGGGUGAGGAAUACAUCGGAAUCUACUUUUUCGUGGGGGAUAACGUAGGGAAACUUACGCUAAUACCGCAUACGACCUACGGGUGAAAGCAGGGGACCUUCGGGCCUUGCGCGAUUGAAUGAGCCGAUGUCGGAUUAGCUAGUUGGCGGGGUAAAGGCCCACCAAGGCGACGAUCCGUAGCUGGUCUGAGAGGAUGAUCAGCCACACUGGAACUGAGACACGGUCCAGACUCCUACGGGAGGCAGCAGUGGGGAAUAUUGGACAAUGGGCGCAAGCCUGAUCCAGCCAUACCGCGUGGGUGAAGAAGGCCUUCGGGUUGUAAAGCCCUUUUGUUGGGAAAGAAAUCCAGCUGGCUAAUACCCGGUUGGGAUGACGGUACCCAAAGAAUAAGCACCGGCUAACUUCGUGCCAGCCGCCGCAGUAA